rnacentral:misc_RNA from 1 species
GAUGAAGAACGUAGCGAAAUGCGAUAAGUAGUGUGAAUUGCAGAAUUCAGUGAAUCAUCGAAUCUUUGAACGCACAUUGCGCCCCUUGGUAUCCCGAGGGGCAUGCCUGUUCGAGCGUCAUUUCACCACUCAAGCCUGGCUUGGUGUUGGGCGACGUCCCCUUUAGGGACGCGCCUCGAAACGCUCGGCGGCGUGGCACCGGCUUUAAGCGUAGCAGAAUCUUUCGCUUUGGAAGUCGGGGCCCCGCCUGCCGGAAUACCUACUCGUAAGGUUGACCUCGGAUCAGGCAGGGAUACCCGCUGAACUUAAGCAUAUCAAUAAGCGGAGG